rnacentral:lncRNA from 1 species
CGGGGAGGGACUCGCCCCCCGUGCCUGUGUUUACAGACUGCUGGUUUCCCCGGGCUCUGACCUGCCUCGUCCAGAAAGCCCAGCAAGAGCGUUGAACUCCUGCUUUCUGCAGGUUCUGCUGGGAGCGGCUCCUCUGGGGUGUGAAGCGGGCAGAGGAGGAUGAGGAGGGAGCCGUGAGCAGAGCCUAGGAGGAGCCUUCCGGGGGCUUCCAGAAGCUGGGGACGGCUGAGACCUGGGUUUGAGGAAGAGCCAGAAGGUCUGAGUGGCUAGAUACGGGGUGGGGGUGGGGGUGGGGCAAAGGGUGCAGAGCUGGUGGGGAGAUGAAGAGAGGGGGCCAAGGGGAGACCCCGUAGGGCCAGGGGGCCUUGGGGAGCACUGAGCCUUUAUCCCGAGUGACUGGAGGCCAUUAGGGCCACCAGUGGGUCCCCACGGAGAGCCCUCCCCAGGGAGAAACAUGGAAAACAACCACGGCCAACCGAGUGGGUGCAGCCCGCACGCAGGUGCCCCCCCAUAACCGAUGCACUGCGUUGACUCCAGAGGCAGACGUCCUCACCCAGAGCUCUCCCGGGGGAGCAGCCGUGGCCCGUCCACGCGCACAAACCAGGAGCCCUCGGCGCCCUGCCCCUGCCCCUGCCUGCCUCCAGCAGCUCGGUCACCUCCUGGACGGGUUCAGAUCCAGCACGCUCUCCACCCUGUUUGCCACACCCGAGGCUGAGCCCCCCCACCUCCAGCUUGGUCUCCUGGUCCCACCGUCAGCACUCUUCUUCCUGAAACACGUGCCUGAUGGUGUCGGCUCCCAGCGCCUCCCCUCGGGAUAAACCCCCAGAUCCUCCACAGACUUAUAACACAUCAUCCAAACCCAGACUUGACUCUUAAAUGUUAAAGGAGGAGCCGUUAAUGAUGUUGGGAUAACAGGUGUAACUGGGUCGCCCUCAGCCACUCGGGACAUGUGGUCCCCCUUCUGCUUGGCUCUGUGUAAGGCUUGGGGGACUGGCCACUGCCCACCUCUCCAGCCCCACUGCACAUCCUGCCCCACCCUGUUUUCUGAGCUCUUCUCUUCCUGCACGCUUUAGGUUCCUUCCUACCCCAGGGCCUUUGCCCAUGCUGUUCCCUAUGUCUGAAGUGCUCUUCCUCCCUCUUCCCGUCCUCUCUUCCUAGUUAAUGCCUGUCCAUCCUGAUGAAUAAAUGAAAAGCAAUAAGAUAUUGAAGUAUGAGGAAGCCAUUUGGUUUACAACUAAUUCUGCCCAAGCUUGUU